CAGGUGAAUUUACAGGGACAUCUUGGCAGAAAGUCUAUUACCUUCUGUUUACUUACUCUGUUUCACAAGAGACUUAAAGUCUUUUUAUGGGCAAAAAAGUUGGCCAUAAACAGAUGAAGAGCAAGUAAGCAAAAGACCAGGGAGAUGGGUUCCUCCAGCCCCCAGGCAAGCCGCAGCAUGCCCGCAGAGGCUGCACAGUCGGCCUGGCGUUCUCCGGACUCUGCUGCGCAUGCGUGCGCGCGUGCUUGGCGGUGGUGAAUAAAGGGUGGCGGGCGCAGUGCUGCAUCUCUGCUUCCGUGUGGUUGCUGUGCCAGAGUUGUUUCUAAGAAAAAGUUGUUAAUGAUAUGCCAACAGAUUAAGACCUCAGGCGAGUCGUUUUUUGAGAAUUCUGCACUUAAAAAGUUCCUUUUCUUAGUGUGAAUUUUCUCUUUCAGCCUAUA
rnacentral:lncRNA from 1 species